AAUGCUAAAAGAGACUUGUUGUCACCUGCAGUGAGCACACAUUUAAAAGGGCAUAGUCAAGUGCAGAGUUGUCUUUCCCUUUUUUGUCUUUUUGAAAUACUUUUGUUUCGUUAAGCUCUUCUGCAACAGCUCCAGUUCCACUGCAACCAGUUGGACUUAACAUUGGACUGUAAAACAGCACCAAGACCUUUUUGUGCCUUCACUGCCUGACCAACCAUACACUGCUGCAGUCACCAGAAAACAAGAACCGGAUGAUGCACUGGUUAACAUGGUGAACUCAUGAACAAGAUUGCAGACCCUUUCUCCAUGGUGGAAAAUGUAGGAUUUAUGAAAUUCCUUAAUAAAUUGGACCCCAAAUACGUGCAUCCAACAAGGCAGGCUUUGAAGGCCAUGACUGAAAAGAAGUAUUAGGACAGUGAGGAAAAAGCCAAGUCUGAUGAGGCAAGGCCAUAAGCUGAACUCCAGUGGAACACCACCAUGGUCAUAAAAACAGCGGACAAGGGGAGCGCGGUGGUAAACAUGAACAGGAAUCAAUACGUCCAGGAUGCAAUGAGACAACUCAAUGACACAAGCUAUUACAUCCCACUGGAUGCUCCAAUAUACAUGGAAACAGAGGCACAGAUGGAGGAAAUCCUGAAUGCAAUGGUCCGGAACCGCAAUAUCACAAAAGCACAAAGGACAUACCUGUUGAGGCGGGACAGAAGGAAGAGAUACUUCUGUCUCCUACCAAAGGUCCACAAAACGCCUUACACUUGUCUGUCCCGUUUCAAAUGCCACCAAGAAGGCAGAUAGUAUCGGACUGUAGCAGCGAGCGCUAUCAAAUAGCGGAGUUCCUGGAUUAUCACCUGAAGCCGCUCUUUACCUGGCAUGAAAGCUAUAUCAAGAACACCCAUGACUUCCUGGAAAAAAAUCAGAGGCAUGAGACUACAGGAACCCUGUCUAAUGUUUUCAAUGGACGUUGAAAGUCUUUACACAAACACUGACCGCCGGAUGGGACUGGCGGUGGUAAGAACCCUCAUGGAAAAACAUCCAGACUCAUCCUGGCCAGAAUAGGAAAUCCUCAAGCUCCUUCAUCUUAGUUUGACUAGGAAUGACUUUGAGAUCAACGGAAAACACUACCUGCAAGUCAAGGGAACGGCGAUGAGCAAACAAUUUGCCUCAGCCUAUGCCAACAUCUACAUGACUACGUGGUAGGGGACAGUCUUCCCCAAACUUCCAUUGCAUUACUUUUGAUACCUGGAUGACGUCUGGGGCAACUGGCCCUACAUGGAGGAGGACUUCAAUGAAUUUGGCAGAACCCUGAACUCCUACCACCCAUCUAUUAAAGUCAAAUCAAUAAUCAAGCAUUCAGAGAUCGACUUCCUGGAUGUCACAACUUUCAAGGGCCCGGACUUUGCAUCCACUGGACAACUGGACACAGAGUUUUCUUAAAACCCACCGACACACACACCCUCCUACACUAUUCUAGCUGAAAUCCUGAAAUCACAACUCAUCUGGUUUCAGAGAAUCUGUUCCAGGACUUUACUGUGUACAAACAUUCCCCUUCCUUUUCUUAUUUAUGGAGCGCUUACAGAUUUCUGUGAACCAGCACACCAGAACACACAAGGUGCUUCAGAUCCCCCACAGGGUAGUCUUUUACAUAUCGCUAAAGCUGUUUGCUCCCACUCUGCCAGGUAUGUCUGCAUAGGUAGAGUCUUUUCUCCUCAUUGUACAACCACUCAACUGCAAGUAAUGUUUACCAUUAAACUCAAUAUUGUUUCUGGUUAAAGUGAUUCUGAGUAAUUGGAGAAUUGCCUUGUUCGGGCGCUCAUGUAUCAGAUGUUGAUGAAA